ensembl:lncRNA
GCGCAGGACAGCAGAUAUGAGUUAUCAACGUAGUUUUACUCAAAUUAACAAAUGUACAAAGUAACAAAACAAGCACACCAUGACGGACCGAAAAUACAACAAUCACUCACAAGGAUCGGUGGUGGCUAGAAGGCCGGCGACGGACCUUCGGCGGAAGUCAUGACAGUACCCCCCCUUUACUUGCGGCUCUCGCAGCGCGUAAAGGGGGGGUACUGGCUGAUCUGGCUCUGAUGCCACGGUGCCAGAACUGGCUGAUACCCCAGUACGUACUGGAAGGGAGAGAGGUUAGUGGAGGAGUGGCGGAGUGAGUUUUAGGCCAUCUAUGCCCAGGGGAUGAACGCCGCCCACUCCCCUGGCCGGUCCUGGCAAUAGGACCUCAGAAACCUACCCACAUCCUGGUUUACUCUCUCCUUCUGCACGUUACUCUUGGGGUGAAAACCUGAGGUGAGGCUGACUGAGACCCCCAGACGUUCCAUGAACGCUCUCCAGACCCUGGAUGUGAACUGGGGACAUCGAUCAGAAACUAUGUCCUCAGGCACCCCGUAGUGCCGGAAGACGUGUGUGAACAGGGCCUCCGCCGUCUGUAGCGAUGUAGGGAGCCCGGGCAAAGGAAGGUGAUGGCAGGACUUGGAAAAUCGAUCCACAACGACCAGGAUCGUGGUGUUGCCUUGUGAGGGAGGAAGAUCCGUCAGGAAGUCCACCGACAGGUGUGACCACGACCGUUGUGGAACGGGGUUGUAACUUCCCUCUGGACAGGUGUCUAGGAGCCUUGCACUGGGCACACACUGAGCAGGAGGAAACAUUAACCCUCACGUCCUUGGCCAAGGUGGACCAGUACUUCCCACUAAGGCAACGCACCAUCAGACCGAUGCCAGGAUGACCAGAGGAUUAUGACGUGUGGGCCCAAUAGAUCAACCGGUCGCGGACAGCAGACGGAUCGUACAGGCGCCCAGCUGGACACUGGGGGGGAGUGGGCUCUGUGCUUAACGCCCACUCGAUGUCCGCGUCCAGCUCCCACACCACCGGUGCCACCAGGCAAGAGGCCGGAAGUAUGGGAGUGUUAUCCAUGGACCGCUCCUCUGUGUCAUACAUCCGGGACAGUGCGUCUGCCUUUGCGUUCUGGGAACCUGGUCUGUAGGACAGAGUGAAAACAAAACGGGUAAAGAACAUGGCCCACCUUGCCUGGCGAGGGUUCAGUCUCCUCGCUGCUCGAAUGUACUCCAGAUUGCAGUGGUCAGUCCAGAUGAGAAAAGGGUGUUUAGCCCUCUCAAGCCAAUGUCUCCACGCCUUCAGAGCCUUGACCACAGCCAACAGCUCCUGAUCCCCCACAUCAUAGUUUUGCUCCGCCGGGCUGAGCUUCUUCGAAAAGAAAGCACAGGGGCGGAGCUUUGGUGGCGUACCCGAGCUCUGAGAGAGCACGGCUCCUAUCCCAGCCUUUGGACGCGUCCACCUCCACUAUGAACGCCAAAGAGGAAUCCGGAUGAGCCAGUGCGGGAGUCGAGGUAAACAGAGCCUUCAGGUGACCAAAAGCCCUGUCCGCCUCAUCCGACCACUGCAGUCUCACCGGUCCCCCCUUCAGCAGUGAGGUAGUGGGAGCUGCUCCCUGACCAAAGCCCCAGACAAACCUCCGGUAGUAGUUGGCAAACCCUAGAAACCACUGCACCUCC